rnacentral:rRNA from 1 species
AAUGAACGCUGGCGGCAUGCCUAAUACAUGCAAGUCGAACGAGACCUUCGGGACUAGUGGCGCACGGCUGCGUAACGCGUGGGAACCUGCCCUUAGGUUUGGACUAACUACAAGACAGGGGUGAUUUUACCGGAUAAUGUCUUCGGCCCAAAGAUUUAUCGACUUUGGAUGGGCACUCGUUGGAUUAGCUAGUUCGUAGGGUAAUAGCCUACUAAGGCGACGAUGCAUAGCUGGUUUGAGAGGAUGAUCAGCCACACUGAGACUGAGACACGGCCCAGACUCCUACGGGAGGCGGCAGAGGGGAAUAGAGGACAGUGGGCGAAAGCCUGAUCCAGCUAUGCCGCGUGAGUGAUGAAGGCCUGAGGGUUGUAAAGCGCUUGUACCCAGGAUGAUAAUGACAGUACCGAGAGAAAAAGCCCCGGCUAACUCCGUG